rnacentral:rRNA from 1 species
GACGUAGGAGGCGAGCGUUGUCCGGAGUUACUGGGCGUAAAGCGCGCGCAGGCGGCCCUGUGCGCUGCCGGUGAAAGCUCCCGGCUUACCUGGGAGAGGUUCGGCAGGACGGCAGGGCUGGAGGGUGGGAGAGGUCGGUGGAAUUCCCGGUGUAGUGGUGAAAUGCGUAGAGAUCGAGAGGAACACCAGUGGCGAAGGCGGCUCACUGGGCUCCACCUGACGCUGAGGCGCGAAAGCGUGGGGAGCGAACCGG